GGGUUGUGAGGUUAAGCGACUAAGCGUACACGGUGGAUGCCCUGGCAGUCAGAGGCGAUGAAGGGCGUGCUAAUCUGCGAUAAGCGCCGGUAAGGUGAUAUGAACCGUUAUAACCGGCGAUACCCGAAUGGGGAAACCCAGUGUGACUCGUCACACUAUCAUUAACUGAAUCCAUAGGUUAAUGAGGCGAACCGGGGGAACUGAAACAUCUAAGUACCCCGAGGAAAAGAAAUCAACCGAGAUUCCCCCAGUAGCGGCGAGCGAACGGGGAGGAGCCCAGAGCCUGAAUCAGCAUGUGUGUUAGUGGAAGCGUCUGGAAAGGCGCGCGAUACAGGGUGACAGCCCCGUACACAAAAGCGCAUGUGCUGUGAGCUCGAUGAGUAGGGCGGGACACGUGGUAUCCUGUCUGAAUAUGGGGGGACCAUCCUCCAAGGCUAAAUACUCCUGACUGACCGAUAGUGAACCAGUACCGUGAGGGAAAGGCGAAAAGAACCCCGGCGAGGGGAGUGAAAAAGAACCUGAAACCGUGUACGUACAAGCAGUGGGAGCACAGGUUUACCUGUGUGACUGCGUACCUUUUGUAUAAUGGGUCAGCGACUUAUAUUCUGUAGCAAGGUUAACCGAAUAGGGGAGCCGGAGGGAAACCGAGUCUUAAUUGGGCGUUAAGUUGCAGGGUAUAGACCCGAAACCCGGUGAUCUAGCCAUGGGCAGGUUGAAGGUUGGGUAACACUAACUGGAGGACCGAACCGACUAAUGUUGAAAAAUUAGCGGAUGACCUGUGGCUGGGGGUGAAAGGCCAAUCAAACCGGGAGAUAGCUGGUUCUCCCCGAAAGCUAUUUAGGUAGCGCCUCGUGAAUUCAUCUCCGGGGGUAGAGCACUGUUUCGGCUAGGGGGCCAUCCCGGCUUACCAACCCGAUGCAAACUGCGAAUACCGGAGAAUGUUAUCACGGGAGACACACGGCGGGUGCUAACGUCCGUCGUGAAGAGGGAAACAACCCAGACCGCCAGCUAAGGUCCCAAAGUCAUGGUUAAGUGGGAAACGAUGUGGGAAGGCCCAGACAGCCAGGAUGUUGGCUUAGAAGCAGCCAUCAUUUAAAGAAAGCGUAAUAGCUCACUGGUCGAGUCGGCCUGCGCGGAAGAUGUAACGGGGCUAAACCAUGCACCGAAGCUGCGGCAGCGACGCUGAUGCGUUGUUGGGUAGGGGAGCGUUCUGUAAGCCUGUGAAGGUGGCCUGUGAGGGUUGCUGGAGGUAUCAGAAGUGCGAAUGCUGACAUAAGUAACGAUAAAGCGGGUGAAAAGCCCGCUCGCCGGAAGACCAAGGGUUCCUGUCCAACGUUAAUCGGGGCAGGGUGAGUCGACCCCUAAGGCGAGGCCGAAAGGCGUAGUCGAUGGGAAACGGGUUAAUAUUCCCGUA
rnacentral:rRNA from 1 species